CUACGGGGCGCUGCAGUGAGGAAUAUUGCGCAAUGGGGGAAACCCUGACGCAGCGACGCCGCGUGGAUGAUGAAGGCCUUCGGGUCGUAAAAUCCUGUCAGAAGGAAAGAAGUGUAUGGUAGCUAAUAUCUGCCAUACUUGACGGUACCUUCAAAGGAAGCACCGGCUAACUCCGUGCCAGCAGCCGCGGUAAUACGGAGGGUGCAAGCGUUGUUCGGAGGUACUGGGCGUAAAGCGCGCGUAGGCGGUUUUAUAAGUCAGAUGUGAAAGUCCACGGCUCAACCAUGGAAGUGCAUUUGAAACUGUAAGACUUGAGUAUUGGAGGGGGUAGUGGAAUUCCCGGUGUAGAGGUGAAAUUCGUAGAUAUCGGGAGGAAUACCGGUGGCGAAGGCGACUAUCUGGCCAAAUACUGACGCUGAGGUGCGAAAGCGUGGGGAGCAAACAGGAUUAGAUACCCGGGUAGUC
rnacentral:rRNA from 1 species